CCUACGGGAGGCUGCAGUGGGGAAUAUUGGACAAUGGGGGGAACCCUGAUCCAGCCAUGCCGCGUGUGUGAAGAAGGCCCUCGGGUUGUAAAGCACUUUCAGUGAGGAAGAACGCCUGGUGGUUAAUACCCAUCAGGAAAGACAUCACUCACAGAAGAAGCACCGGCUAACACCGUGCCAGCAGCCGCGGUAAUACGGAGGGUGCGAGCGUUAAUCGGAAUUACUGGGCGUAAAGCGCGCGUAGGUGGCUUGAUAAGCCGGUUGUGAAAGCCCCGGGCUCAACCUGGGAACGGCAUCCGGAACUGUCAAGCUAGAGUGCAGGAGAGGAAGGUAGAAUUCCCGGUGUAGCGGUGAAAUGCGUAGAGAUCGGGAGGAAUACCAGUGGCGAAGGCGGCCUUCUGGACUGACACUGACACUGAGGUGCGAAAGCGUGGGUAGCAAACAGGAUUAGAUACCCGUGUAGUC
rnacentral:rRNA from 1 species